GUGCAAGGACCCACUCCAGGAUCCAGGGUUGCAAUAGAGCCAAAAUACAAGAGAGAAAUGAAUGAAAUAACAGUGGCGGGAAGGGGCUUGGCAUCCUCGCUUACAGAAGGAGCCUCCUUUCUGUUCACCUGAGCACAGCACAGCUGAGGUCCUGCUAAUGCUGGGGACUGAACCUGUAUGCCUGGUGCCUCGGGCAGGAGAGUCCACUGUGUGAUCCACUGUGCUAUUCCCUGGGGUUCCAGAGUUAAAUCUUUGAUCUAUUAUGGAAAAGAAAAAUAGCCCCUGGGUGUCUAGAUGUCGUGGGGCACCCUCACACGGCAGCAGCGGUUAGAUAAAGAAGAUACAGAGUGUUGUAAGUGACAUCUGGUUAAAAUGACUUGUCAAGGCAAAAAAUAAGGAGUUGAAGCAAGGCAUUUAUUCUUUUGCAAAAGGGUGGACCACCAACAGUGGCCGUCAGGAAGCAGAGUACCCACCGCCCUCAGCCUUCCCCCAUCUUUUAUACCUGCCACUGAACUCUCUCCUCCACCCCUGGGCUGGGCUUCAGAGCUCACAGUCUCCCCAUUGCCUAAAUAAGGAAAGGAGGGAGAGAGUCUGAGGGUCUCUGCUGGGGGAUUUGCAAGCACUGACAGUAGCUGACCUAAA